UGCGUAACGCGUGAGCAACAUGCCCGUAUCAGGGGGGAUAAUCCAUGGAAACGUGGUCUAAUACCCCAUAGUAAUUAUGUAAGGCAUCUUAUAUAAUUUAAAGGCUUUGGUGGAUACGGAUUGGCUCGCGUGACAUUAGCUGGAUGGUAAGGUAACGGCUUACCAUGGCUACGAUGUCUAGGGGUUCUGAGAGGAAGGUCCCCCACACUGGAACUGAGACACGGUCCAGACUCCUACGGGAGGCAGCAGUGAGGAAUAUUGGACAAUGGAUGGAAGUCUGAUCCAGCCAUGCCGCGUGCAAGGAAGACGGCCUAUGGGUUGUAAACUGCUUUUGUAUGGGAGCAAUAAGGGCUACGUGUAGUCCGAUGAGAGUACCAUACGAAUAAGCACCGGCUAACUCCGUGCCAGCAGCCGC
rnacentral:rRNA from 1 species